GACGAACGCUGGCGGCGUGCCUAAUACAUGCAAGUAGAACGCACAGUUUAUACCGUAGCUUGCUACACCAUAGACUGUGAGUUGCGAACGGGUGAGUAACGCGUAGGUAACCUGCCUGGUAGCGGGGGAUAACUAUUGGAAACGAUAGCUAAUACCGCAUAAUAUUGAUUAUUGCAUGAUAAUUAAUUGAAAGGUGCAAUUGCACCACUACCAGAUGGACCUGCGUUGUAUUAGCUAGUAGGUGAGGUAACGGCUCACCUAGGCGACGAUACAUAGCCGACCUGAGAGGGGGAUCGGCCACACUGGGACUGAGACACGGCCCAGACUCCUACGGGAGGCAGCAGUAGGGAAUCUUCGGCAAUGGACGAAAGUCUGACCGAGCAACGCCGCGUGAGGGAAGAAGGUUUUCGGAUCGUAAAGCUCUGUUGUAAGAGAAGAACGGGUGUGAGAGUGGAAAGUUCACACUGUGACGGUAUCUUACCAGAAAGGGACGGCUAACUACGUG
rnacentral:rRNA from 1 species